rnacentral:rRNA from 1 species
UACGUAGGUGGCAAGCGUUGUCCGGAUUUACUGGGCGUAAAGGAUGCGUAGGCGGACAUUUAAGUCAGAUGUGAAGUACCCGAGCUUAACUUGGGUGCUGCAUUUGAAACUGGGUGUCUAGAGUGCAGGAGAGGUAAGUGGAAUUCCUAGUGUAGCGGUGAAAUGCGUAGAGAUUAGGAAGAACACCAGUGGCGAAGGCGACUUACUGGACUGUAACUGACGCUGAGGCAUGAAAGCGUGGGGAGCAAACAGG